rnacentral:rRNA from 1 species
UACACUCCUACGGAGGCAGCAGUGGGGAAUAUUGCACAAUGGGCGCAAGCCUGAUGCAGCCAUGCCGCGUGUAUGAAGAAGGCCUUCGGGUUGUAAAGUACUUUCAGCGGGGAGGAAGGCGAUAAGGUUAAUAACCUUGUUGAUUGACGUUACCCGCAGAAGAAGCACCGGCUAACUCCGUGCCAGCAGCCGCGGUAAUACGGAGGGUGCAAGCGUUAAUCGGAAUUACUGGGCGUAAAGCGCACGCAGGCGGUCUGUCAAGUCGGAUGUGAAAUCCCCGGGCUCAACCUGGGAACUGCAUUCGAAACUGGCAGGCUAGAGUCUUGUAGAGGGGGGUAGAAUUCCAGGUGUAGCGGUGAAAUGCGUAGAGAUCUGGAGGAAUACCGGUGGCGAAGGCGGCCCCCUGGACAAAGACUGACGCUCAGGUGCGAAAGCGUGGGGAGCAAACAGGAUUAGAAACCCGGGUAGUCCC